rnacentral:rRNA from 1 species
AUUGAACGCUGGCGGCAGGCCUAACACAUGCAAGUCGAACGGUAACAGGAAGCAGCUUGCUGCUUCGCUGACGAGUGGCGGACGGGUGAGUAAUGUCUGGGAAACUGCCUGAUGGAGGGGGAUAACUACUGGAAACGGUAGCUAAUACCGCAUAACGUCGCAAGCCCAAAGAGGGGGACCUUAGGGCCUCUUGCCAUCGGAUGUGCCCAGAUGGGAUUAGCUAGAAGGUGGGGUAACGGCUCACCUAGGCGACGAUCCCUAGCUGGUCUGAGAGGAUGACGAGCCACACUGGAACUGAGACACGGUCCAGACUCCUACGGGAGGCAGCAGUGGGGAAUAUUGCACAAUGGGCGCAAGCCUGAUGCAGCCAUGCCGCGUGUAUGAAGAAGGCCUUCGGGUUGUAAAGUACUUUCAGCGGGGAGGAAGGGAGUAAAGUUAAUACCUUUGCUCAUUGACGUUACCCGCAGAAGAAGCACCGGCUAACUACGUG